UCAGGUGGUCUCUUAUAUGGACACGCAUAACAAUUAUGUCCCGAUUAUAUCAAGAUUAAAUCUAAGGUAGAGCUCAGAUCAGAUCUAUUUUUAAGCCAAAUCUCUUCUUGUGGCUAGAUGUGGACUGUAUGUACGGUCCACUGAAUGCUGGUUUAAAAUGAGAUUGCAUAUCUUCCAUUAGCUGCAAUUGUAUGGAGUGCUUGAAUUUGGUUCAUUUUCUAAAAUGCUUAUCAAAAUGAUUCUUUCAGAUAUGCAUCCAGCUACAAGUUGAUCACACCUUAGUAUGUGUCAUCACGAGUACAGUCUGGUUGUACAGGAGGCAUGGUGCUGGCAUCUGCUCAGCUUCUGCGGAGGCCUCAGGAAACUUACAAUUAUGGUGGAAGGACAUGCAUUAGCAUCAGAAUCACAUAAGGAAAGCUGCUAUGGUCAGCAGACUCACAAUAUCAGCCCCUACGCUGACCAAGUGGUUGUCAUGGAAUUUCCCUUCCUGUACUGUCAAAUCUCCAAAUAACUGCAAUUUGGAACAGCCUGUUUGCUGAACCUGGGGGCAAAAGAGGGGAAAAAUUGUCAAAGCAGAUGAGGCAAAAGUACUUCAGGUAAGUAAAGUAACUCCUUUUACUUCAGCUCCUCAAUUCACUCAUUCAUAAAUAUGUAAU